GGCUGGGCAGGGUUGGGGUGGGCUGGGCAGGGCAGGGCUGACCUGGCCAGGCUGCCAACCUCC
rnacentral:miRNA from 1 species